AGAGACAGCAGUAACACCUUCUGGCUAUAGUCUAUUUUCAUCUUUCUCAUCCUAGUGUUAUCAAGAGAAAAACAGUCUUAGAUGCAACAUAAAAAUUUCAGAGACAGAAGAAAUCUUCCUUUGAGGGCAGUGAUACACUUAUGUGAGAUUUUGAAAAGUGAAAAAUCAAAGGUGGAAUUGACCAGUAGAUGUAAAAGUACAACAAAUAAACAAAAAUGGCAAUGUUGAAAGUGAAACUGAAAUUCAACAGAAAUAAAAGAAAUAGCAGACUGGGGGGAUAUUGACUUUGACACCAUGAUGCCAGAGGAACUUAGUGAUGGCAAACUUAUCAAUAUAAAAUGAGGAUAUUGGUUGUCAACUAGGAUUGAAAUGCUGUUUUUCUUCCCUGGUACAAUGUUAAAGCUUUAAACUCUUGUCAAUGAUGUGAUGUUUCAUCUGCAAUGAUCUACACUAGAAAAAUAAAAAUGUAGUUACUGACAAAAAAGCAGGUAAGAAAAAUAAUUUUUUAAAAGGACAGCUACAUGAGGACCACACAACUCCUGGAAGAGGUUUCCCUGGCAACACAACUUUUCCAUUCAUCUGGUUGCAGUGUUUUCAUCCAGUAGCCUGUCACCUCACUCAAAAGCAGGGCAAUGGAGAGAAAGAAACUUACCAAGUUUUUUCUUUUAACUAGAGAGUAGCCUACUUAUUGGGCCCUGCAAUUAAUUUCAGUACUCCAGGCAGAUUUAUAAAGGAAGCUGCUGGAAGGAAUUCAUUCCCUUUUUGCUGUUCUGCCUUCCACCUUCCACUGUGUGAGGACACUGCAAGAAAGCCCUCAUCAGACACCAACUGCCAGCACCUAGAUCUUGGAAUUCUCAGCCUCCAGAACUGUGAGAAACACGUUUCUGUUUUUCUAUAAAAUAAUAAUAAUAAAAAACUUCCAUGCAGGAAAAAAAAUCAAGUUCAAAGGUCCUGUGGUGAGGGCAUACCAGCUUUGUUUGAGAAGCAGUAAUCAUGCCUGUGUGACUGUAAUGAAAGAAUAAAAGAGAAAUGAGCACAGAAGAAUAUAAUGUAGUCCUUUUCAUUUUAAGCAAGAAAUUUGGCUUCAAUUCUAAAUGUGAUAAGAAAAAAACAG
rnacentral:lncRNA from 1 species